GCCCCCUUCGCCCUCGGGGGCCUGCGCAGCUUCGGCGACAUCCCAGCCAGCGCCUGGCAGGAACCAUCAACUUAACUUGGCACCUGAUCUGUGGCUGUUGCCUCCUGGUUCACUUAACAGAUGUCUCUGCACUUUCAAGUUGGACACAAGCUCAUUGGAGCCUAUGGGGAAGGCCUGACCAGCACCGUGCUAUGCUCAGGAGGCUGCGUGCUUCUGGCCCUCAGCGCCCUGCUGGCGGUCGUCUCUGUCUUCCUCCCCAGUGGGCUCUUGGAGAGGCGAGUCUGUGCCCUGGCCGGAUACAUGCAGAUGGCAGCAGUGUUCAUCACGGCCUCAGGACUCCUGGUCUACCCUUUGGGUCUCGGCUCAGCUUCUGUGAAAAGCUCUUGUGGGAACACCGCCGGCAUCUACAAUGUUGGGAGCUGCCAGCUUGGCUGGGGUUACACGCUGGCCAUCGUAGGGGUCAUGCUGUCAGGCUUCUUGCCCUUCUUUGCGAAGUAUGCACCCAAAGAGCACAUCUCACCAACCCCGAUGCCCGCUAUUUUAUAGCAGUUGUUACCAACAAAAGGACACCUCGUCUAAAACAAAUGGGCAGAAGGAGAGUACAACAAAUACACCAUUUGCCUUAACCAACAGAGGAAUUGGGUUCCAAGCUCACUCCAUUGCCACAUCUCAUUGGGGAAAAAAGAUCUGUGGUCCCACGCACACCCAUCUUCCUAGUAAUUAACAAACAGAGAAGGACCUAGGAUCUAUUUUCUAACCAGAAAUCUUGUCUGAUGCAUUUUUGAGAUGGUGCAUGCUGUCUUUGAUUGGAUCCAUCAUCAUAGUUAACAAUUUUUCUGAGUCCUAAACGGGUUCUUUGUCCAUUAUUUCUCAAGAAAAACGUACUUGAAGGAAACUAGAGGAAAUGUUAGGGAAGGACAAAGACCCAAAACAGAGAAAAGCCUCACCUGGGAAUAAAGUAACAGAGGCAAAUGCA
rnacentral:lncRNA from 1 species